AGGAUGAACGCUAGCGGCAGGCUAACACAUGCAAGUCGAGGGGCAGCGCGAGGUAGCAAUACUUGGCGGCGACCGGCGAAAGGGUGCGUAACGCGUGAGCAACUUGCCCGUAUCUGGGACAUAAGCGGUGGAAACGCCGUCUAAUUUCCCAUAACAACAGAGGCCGCAUGACCUUUGUUUGAAAGAUCCGUCGGAUACGGAUGGGCUCGCGAGACAUUAGCUAGUCGGCGUGGUAACGGCACACCGAGGCGACGAUGUCUAGGGGUUCUGAGAGGAAGGUCCCCCACACUGGAACUGAGACACGGUCCAGACUCCUACGGGAGGCAGCAGUGAGGAAUAUUGGUCAAUGGGCGCAAGCCUGAACCAGCCAUGCCGCGUGAAGGAAUAAAGGCCCUAUGGGUCGUAAACUUCUUUUGUGGUGGAGCAAUAAGGUGUACGCGUACACCGAUGAGAGUACAUCACGAAUAAGCAUCGGCUAACUCCGUGCCAGCCGCUGC
rnacentral:rRNA from 1 species